AUGUGUCACGUCUGAUUUCCCUCCCCUUGUGUCUGUUGACGGUCGUUACAGUGUGUGUUGGCUCCGAUGCUGGUGCCUGUUAGCACUGUUACAUGGAUUUUAAAAGUGCUAGUCUCUCCGGUUGACUCCCUGUAUGCCAGGGCACUGGUGGCUGCCAUGACAGCUGUAUGCCAGUGUCCGUAAGGUGUCAUGCCUGGCGUAAGAAGCGGAGCUGGGGUCCCACGGGUGACAGGAAUUUCUACGGUGGUGGUGCUUCUCAUCGUGUGCUGUGUAACAUCUUGUGUGUUUCGUAGUGUGAUUUGAGUGCACUUUGGUGUGUGUGGUUGUGUGGAAGUGUGCUCUGCUCAAACUGAAUUCUGUCCUCUGCCGUUGGGAGCCUCAGCCCUGCUGGUAACAUUCUCUUUUAUUUGUUUUGAUUUAACCUCUUUGUUAUAAUUAAAAUUGUGUCUUUUCCCUUUAAGGGGAAAGAAUGAGUACUUGGUGUGUCUUUUUAAUCUUGUGUUUUUAAAUAUUUGUAUUAAUAAAAUUAUGUAACAUUUUGCAUUAUA